GAUGAAGAACGUAGCGAAAUGCGAUACGUAAUGUGAAUUGCAGAAUUCAGUGAAUCAUCGAAUCUUUGAACGCAUAUUGCGCUCUCUGGUAUUCCGGAGAGCAUGCUUGUUUGAGUAUCAGUAAACACCUCAACUUCCAUAUCUUUUUUUGAAAUGGGAGUUGGACUUGAGUGAUCCCAACGCUUUUCCUCACCGAAAAGUGGCGGGUUACUUGAAAUGCAGGUGCAGCUGGACUUUUCUCUGAGCUAUAAGCAUAUCUAUUUAGUCUGCCUAAAAAACAGAUUAUUACCUUUGCUGCAGCUAACAUAAAGGAGAUUAGUUCUUGUGCUGACUGAUGCAGGAUUCACAAAGACAGCUUCGGCCGACUUUGUAAACUCGAUCUCAAAUCAAGUAAGACUACCCGCUGAACUUAAGCAUAUCAAUAAGCGGAGGC
rnacentral:misc_RNA from 1 species